rnacentral:miRNA from 1 species
AGGAUUAGAGGCAACUGAACC